UGCGCCUUGCCAGCCCGCUCAGAAACUCAAAGGCAUUGACGGGGCCCGCACAAGCAGCGGAGCGUGUGGUUUAAUUCGAUGAUACGCGAAGAACCUCACCCAGGUUUGACAUGCAUGUGGUACCAAGGUGAAAGCUGAGGGACCCUUCGGGGAGCAUGCACAGGUGUUGCACGGCCGUCGUCAGCUCGUGCCGUGAGGUGUUGGGUUAAGUCCCGCAACGAGCGCAACCCCUGUCGCCAGUUGUAUUUUUCUGGCGAGACUGCCGAGAAAACCUCGGAGGAAGGAGGGGACGAUGUCAGGUCAGCGUGGCCCUUACGCCUGGGGCUACACACACGCUACAAUGGGCAGUACAACGGGUCGCGAAGCCGCGAGGUGGAGCUAAUCCCAUCAAAGCUGUCCUCAGUUCGGAUUGCAGGCUGAAACCCGCCUGCAUGAAGCCGGAGUUGCUAGUAACCGCAGGUCAGCAUUACUGCGGUGAAUACGUUCCCGGGCCUU
rnacentral:rRNA from 1 species